GCCGUAGGGCGCGAGCGUUGUCCGGAUUUAUUGGGCGUAAAGAGCUCGUAGGCGGCUUGUUGCGUCAGCUGUGAAAACCCGCAGCUCAACUGUGGGCUUGCAGCUGAUACGGGCAGGCUUGAGUUCGGUAGGGGAGACUGGAAUUCCUGGUGUAGCGGUGAGAUGCGCAGAUAUCAGGAGGAACACCGGUGGCGAAGGCGGAUCUCUGGGCCAUUACUGACGCUGAGGAGCGAAAGCGUGGGGAGCGAACAGG
rnacentral:rRNA from 1 species